rnacentral:rRNA from 1 species
CGUAGGGGCAAGCGUUGUCCGGAUUUACUGGGCGUAAAGAGCGUGUAGGCGGCCAAGCAGGUCCGUUGUGAAAACUGGAGGCUUAACCUCCAGACGUCGACGGAAACCGCGUGGCUAGAGUCCGGAAGAGGAGAGUGGAAUUCCUGGUGUAGCGGUGAAAUGCGCAGAUAUCAGGAAGAACACCAAUGGCGAAGGCAGCUCUCUGGGACGGUACUGACGCUGAGACGCGAAAGCGUGGGGAGCGAACAGGAUUAGAUACCCUGGUAGUCCACGCCGUAAACGAUGGGUGCUAGGUGUGGGAGGUGUCGACUCCUUCCGUGCCGUAGCUAACGCAUUAAGCACCCCGCCUGGGGAGUACGGCCGCAAGGCUA